rnacentral:lncRNA from 1 species
UCGAACAUACAUGUCAUGUAAGAACUCGAAAGUUGCAAUAUGCAAAGUAGUCCUUUAACCUGAGGCAUCAUAGAUGUCUAAUGGUUAGGUCCUUGAUCUUUGAUCAUGUCAACGGCAUUCCAUCGGAGUGUCCACGGCAUUGUUGGGGUCAAGCUAUCUAGUCAUGUAUGAAUGCACAACAAGGGAUCUCUAACCUUCC